AGAGUUUGAUCCUGGCUCAGAUUGAACGCUGGCGGCAGGCCUAACACAUGCAAGUCGAGCGGAUGAAGAGAGCUUGCUCUCCGAUUCAGCGGCGGACGGGUGAGUAAUGCCUAGGAAUCUGCCUGGUAGUGGGGGACAACGUUUCGAAAGGAACGCUAAUACCGCAUACGUCCUACGGGAGAAAGCAGGGGACCUUCGGGCCUUGCGCUAUCAGAUGAGCCUAGGUCGGAUUAGCUAGUUGGUGAGGUAAAGGCUCACCAAGGCGACGAUCCGUAACUGGUCUGAGAGGAUGAUCAGUCACACUGGAACUGAGACACGGUCCAGACUCCUACGGGAGGCAGCAGUGGGGAAUAUUGGACAAUGGGCGAAAGCCUGAUCCAGCCAUGCCGCGUGUGUGAAGAAGGUCUUCGGAUUGUAAAGCACUUUAAGUUGGGAGGAAGGGCAGUAAGCUAAUACCUUGCUGUUUUGACGUUACCGACAGAAUAAGCACCGGCUAACUUCGUGCCAGCAGCCGCGGUAAUACGAAGGGUGCAAGCGUUAAUCGGAAUUACUGGGCGUAAAGCGCGCGUAGGUGGUUCGUUAAGUUGGAUGUGAAAGCCCCGGGCUCAACCUGGGAACUGCAUCCAAAACUGGCGAGCUAGAGUAUGGCAGAGGGUGGUGGAAUUUCCUGUGUAGCGGUGAAAUGCGUAGAUAUAGGAAGGAACACCAGUGGCGAAGGCGACCACCUGGGCUAAUACUGACACUGAGGUGCGAAAGCGUGGGGAGCAAACGGGAUUAGAUACCCUGGUAGUCCACGCCGUAAACGAUGUCGACUAGCCGUUGGGAUCCUUGAGAUCUUAGUGGCGCAGCUAACGCAUUAAGUCGACCGCCUGGGGAGUACGGCCGCAAGGUUAAAACUCAAAUGAAUUGACGGGGGCCCGCACAAGCGGUGGAGCAUGUGUUUAAUUCGA
rnacentral:rRNA from 1 species